rnacentral:rRNA from 1 species
ACGUAGGGAGCAAGCGUUGUCCGGAUUUACUGGGUGUAAAGGGUGCGUAGGCGGCUUUGCAAGUCAGAUGUGAAAUCUAUGGGCUCAACCCAUAGCCUGCAUUUGAAACUGUAGAGCUUGAGUGAAGUAGAGGCAGGCGGAAUUCCCCGUGUAGCGGUGAAAUGCGUAGAGAUGGGGAGGAACACCAGUGGCGAAGGCGGUCUGCUGGGCUUUAACUGACGCUGAGGCACGAAAGCGUGGGUAGCAAACAG